rnacentral:misc_RNA from 1 species
AUUGAAUUGUAAUUAAGAAUUUCAUAAUCCAUGAUAAACCAUUUGCCUGGACCCAAGCCCCAAUUUUUUCCCAAAUCACAUGUGUCAGUGUAUCAAAGAAAGCUGCUGGAGUCGGGAACUCCCGUCAAAAAAGGCUGUCUGCCACCUUAGUUAAAGUCUAAAGGCAUUCGAUUUAAUUUGGAGUCAAGACAAGACUUAAAGUUGAGAGAUAUUAAAGAUAACAUUAAAAAUUUUGCAUCAUUGACAAAUAUUAAGCCAUCAACCUCAAAACCUUAAAUAAAA